AUUGAACGCUGGCGGAAUGCUUUACACAUGCAAGUCGAACGGCAGCACGGACUUCGGUCUGGUGGCGAGUGGCGAACGGGUGAGUAAUGUAUCGGAACGUGCCCAGUCGUGGGGGAUAACGUAGUGGAAAUUACGCUAAUACCGCAUACGAUCUAUGGAUGAAAGCGGGGGAUCGCAAGACCUCGCGCGAUUGGAGCGGCCGAUAUCAGAUUAGGUAGUUGGUGGGGUAAAGGCCCACCAAGCUAACGAUCUGUAGCUGGUCUGAGAGGACGACCAGCAACACUGGAACUGAGACACGGUCCAGACUCCUACGGGAGGCAGCAGUGGGGAAUUUUGGACAAUGGGCGAAAGCCUGAUUCAGCCAUUCCGCGUGCAGGAUGAAGGCCCUCGGGUUGUAAACUGCUUUUGUACAGAACGAAAAGGUUUCUACUAAUACUAGGAGCUCAUGACGGUACUGUAAGAAUAAGCACCGGCUAACUACGUGCCAGCCGCCGCUGUAA
rnacentral:rRNA from 1 species